GGGAAAGGAGGAGGGGGAAAACCAGAGUUGUUUCUGAAUAAACUCUUAGUUGAAUCUACAGAAGAUUGCGUUUGUGAAGGAAGCAGCUAUAAAACACAGGCUUGCUCUUGAGAGAGAAGAAAGUGGAGAGACAUGUGAGGUGCACUGCAAGCAAACAUUCUGGACAAUAUUAGGUUUUCAUGUCCCCUUUCCAAAAUGUGACAUUGUAGCACCUAUUUGACAGCUGCUGUCAUAUGUGACAAAAGAGACUGGCCCAGGAAGAAACUUUGAAGAUGCGUCAUUCAGCAAUAACAGUGAAUGACCUUUGCGGGCCAACAAUUCAGAGCAGAGGAAAAGAUCUGGGAAGAAUGAGGGCAGCGGAUCACCCACCAAAACUCCUACAUGUGUACAGACACCUGAGUGCACGCACAACAUAAUGUCUGAACAGGACAAAGGUUGCUUUGGCUACUGGGUGUGGCCUCCCACCCGACAAUUGCCCAUCCAUGCCAAAAAGGCAUUUUAAAACAUAAUUAUAAUGUGGGGGAAGGUUUGCCCAGAUGUAAGAGGAUAAGAGUCUUUACUCUGUUUUCCUGUUUACAAUGGCAUCUACUAAUUCAGUGUUCCCUGAACUUUUGGCAUCUGUAUUUCAAUCAUUUCUGUAUUAAAAUCGGAAGCAGGUG